UGUAACAUUUUUUUUGUUGUUUUCAUGCACAAAGCUUGGAAAUUAGAACUUUUUAAUCUCUGAGAAUAAAAAAUGUUGAUCUUUUCAUGGACAAUUAUAAAAUAUGAAAUAUUAAUGCUAAAAAU